ACGACCAUAGGGUGUGGAAAACAGGGCUUCCCGUCCGCUCAGCCGUACUUAAGCCACACGCCGGCCAGUUAGUAGUUGGGUGGGUGACCACCAGCGAAUCCCGGCUGUUGUAUGUU
rnacentral:rRNA from 1 species